UCCAAACACAUCUUGGGGCCAACUGUACAUGUAGAUACAAAAGGUUAGAGGUAUCAGUUUGGAAAGGUGAUUUUCUCAGUGCCACAUUUAAUGCAUAUUAAUCUGUUUUUCCAUCCAAGGAUCCAUGACAAUCGAAUCGAUGAGCUCUGCGCCUCUUCGUUCUCACUUCGCUGAGACGUUUCACCAAAAAUCUCAGCGCCGCUGUUACAUCCUCCUACUCUAGAAGAGAGAAGUGAGAGAUUACUGCGUGUGGCUCAUUAGGAAGGUUUUAUUUUGUCUGCAAAAUUUCCCCCCCGUCUAUUGUCUCUCCACCCUCUCAGCAAAAGUCUCGGCAGAAUCACAUCCCUGGGUGCAUCGCAGCGUUGAGAUAAAUGCAGAAAAUGAACUGGAAGAAAACAGGGAGGCGAGAAAAACGCGUGCCUGGCCGACGAUGGCCGAAAACUCAAAGGAGAGAUGGUUACACUGCAUCGCCAGCUUGCCUCAUCUGAAUCCCUGACUCCUGACCUCCCCUGAGGAAGGUGCUCACUGUCAGAAGAACCCCCGGCAUCCUACCGCCACAGAAAGGUGAUUCCUUUAAAGCGGAAGAAACGGAUGAAGGAGCAAGAGGGGGCUGCGCAAGGUGGGCAGACGGGGAGGGGAGCUGUCGCUUGUGUCAGGUUAACCUCAGAGACACAUCCGGAGCUCAGCAUCUGGGAGACGGAGGGGAGAAAGGCACCGUCGCUCCAUUUGGUGCAAGUGAGUUUUGCAUUAAGCAUCCUGCAAUGGCUUUCAUCAGCUUCUUUCGUUCUCUCUCUCUUUCUUCCUUUCUCACCUCCACUCGCUCCCCCGAGAAGGCUAAAACACUAAACUUUGUGCACUGUCAGUCCCAUGGGCUGUGUUUAUUCCCAGAUUUAUUCAUGUAGCAUUGCAGCGUUAAGUGUUAAAGAGAGAGAGGAAGAAAGAUAGAGGUCUGCAUGCAGAAAGGAAGGAGAUGAUACUGAUGUUUGUGCAGCACAUGUGUUAAGUCACUCACACACCACAAUAACACCUGAAAUUGCAGCAGCUGGUGCUGUUAAACAUGCAUUCUCUUGUUCCAGUUUCCCCACGGCAGCAACAGAUAGCAACAAAAGUUCCGUUGAGGUCUUUAAGAAAACACCCCUGGUGUGUGAGUUUGUAAAAGGCAAGAUUCCCAAUAUUCAGCAAAAGACGAGAUGUGUGCAUGUGUCUAUGACAAAGAGGCAGAUGAAGAGAGGAAGUUAAGAGAAAAAGAUGACAGCACUCAAAGGCUAAAGGCAGUGCUUUCUCUCAUCUCCUGACCAACGGCUGACUCUGAGACUGAGAGCCGAGAGCGGAUGGAGUGACCCAGCUCCCCAUGACCCUGCUGAACUGAGUGUGAGGCUCCCCAGCUAAACCCACCAGAGCUCCAGCUCCUGUAAUUGGGUUAAAGCUCUGCAUUGCCUUAUUGAUGUGCAAAUGCUAACUGUCGAGGCGUGUCACUUUCAGACAUAUUACAGAACACCUCGAGGAUGACUGCAGGAGAUCAAGGACACCAAUGCAUCAUUUCAUAUCAAACCCCAAACAUGCGAGGGGUGCCGUUCGUUAAAAUUUAGGCUAUCAAGAAAUAUCGAAUUCAAAAGAAAUGUCUAAUUUGAAGCAGUCCUUGACAGUACACGAUCAUAUCUUAUCGUAUUUAACAACCAGUUUUGACAUGAGUUAUGCCACCCUAAAAAAGAAUGUUCUCACAAAUGAUGAUAAUAAUUAAAAUGAUGGGAAGUAUGAAAAUGUCAGUUAACCAGGAGGAUGUACAGUCAGUCAGAAAUUCAAAAUAUUAAAGUUGUGCCUGGAUGGGUCAGACUGGUGUAAAUCGAUGGACUGA